rnacentral:rRNA from 1 species
GGGCCCGACGUUUGAUCCUGGCUCAGAACGAACGCUGGCGGCAGGCCUCAAACAUGCAAGUCUAGGGGGUGUAGCAAUACAUCACCGGCGGACGGGUGCGUAACACGUGGGAAUAUACCUUUCGGUACGGAACAACUGAGGGAAACUUCAGCUAAUACCGUAUACGUCCUAACGGAGAAAGAUUUAUCGCCGAAGGAUUAGCCCGCGCUCGAUUAGCUAGUUGGUGAGGUAAUGGCUCACCAAGGCUACGAUCGAUAGCUGUUCUGAGAGGAAGAUCAGCCACACUGGGACUGAGACACGGCCCAGACUCCUACGGGAGGCAGCAGUUGGGAAUCUUGGACAAUGGGGGAAACCCUGAUCCAGCCAUGCCGCGUGAGUGAUGAAGGCCUUCGGGUUGUAAAGCUCUUUUACCCGGGAAGAUAAUGACUGUACCGGGAGAAUAAGCUCCGGCUAACUUCGUGCCAGCAGCCGCGGUAAUAA